rnacentral:rRNA from 1 species
AUUGCAGUCUGCAACUCGACUGCAUGAAGUCGGAAUCGCUAGUAAUCGCGGAUCAGCAUGCCGCGGUGAAUACGUUCCCGGGCCUUGUACACACCGCCCGUCACACCAUGAGAGUCGGGAACACCCGAAGUCCGUAGCCUAACCGCAAGGGGGGCGCGGCCGAAGGUGGGUUCGAUAAUUGGGGUGAAGUCGUAACAAGGUAGC